UUAUCAUUGGAAGGAAGCAGUGUAAGACCCCCUUUUGGGGACCCCCCACUCUAGUCUCGGGAGAGAUAGAGCACCCAAAGAAACACGAGAAUCC
rnacentral:pre_miRNA from 7 species